rnacentral:lncRNA from 1 species
AUUUUGUAUACUUUUUAGAGACUGGGGUUUUUAUUUCUAAAUUUUAGUGCCAAACUAUAGGAUACAUCACAUCAAUACUGUGUGUGUUUGGUUAAUGAAUAACCAGUCUUGAUUACUGCAUGGUAUUGUAAUAAAAAUCCAUUUGCUUUUCUGUAGUUUAUAACAAGUCUUCCUACAUUUUGUCUCAUCUGGUGCUCUUUCUAAUAGCCCAGUGUGUGUUAUCUUCAGGUUACCCUCACUCAGGUGAGUAAUCUCAAGGUGACUGGUUUAAGGAAUCAUCUCAAGAUUACAUAAUAGUUUUUUGAAAUAGUGUUUAGAAAUAAAAGCAAGUUUAUGUGGAGACUUAUACCUUUGCUACGCAUAGCUACAAAUUUAGCUCAAAGCUCUAUGGCAGUUCAGUUUUUCCAGUUACAUUUCAGAGAUUAUGUGUUACAGGCUGAGAACAAGAACUUAAGAGAACAAGUACCCACAGGUCUUCUAACUGCGAAACCUAUGCUCUUUCUAGUGUGUAAUCCUAUUCCUCUAUUUACUGUCUUUGGAACCCAGCUUAGUUUCAGGUUAAAAGUCUUUGAAGCCUCUAGGUCUGACGGUUAAAACCUUGUGUCAGGUUCUCACUUUCCACAGGUGUUUUCAGUAGUAUAAAAAGGCAGAUUUCAAAAGGCUUUUUUUUUUUUUUGGUUAAAAGAUUACUAUUGAAGGGAUCUUUAAAAAAACAAUUAAGAAGGGCUGGGUGUGGUGGCUCACGCCUGUAAUCCCAGCACUUUGGGAGGCCGAGGCGGGUGGAUCACGAGGUGAGGAGAUCAAGACCAUCCUAGCUAACACGGUGAAACCCCAUCUCUACUAAAAAUAUAAAAAAUUAGCUGGGCGUGUUGGUGGGCACCUGUAGUCCCAGCUACUCAGGAGGCUGAGGCAGGAGAAUAGCGUGAACCCGGGAGGCGGAGCUUGCAGUGAGCUGAGAUGGCGCCACUACACUCCAGCCUGGGUGACAAAGCGAGACUCCGUCUCAAAAAAAAAAAAAAAUUAAUAUUUCUGAUAUUAUUUAGAGAGAUAGAUUCUGUGCUCUACAAAGAUUACUUUUUAGAAUAAAUAGGUCAGUUACUUAAACAUAUCCCUAAAAUUGGUUCUUUGGCUUGUAUAUUUUGAAGUCAGUGGCUUCUUGUUCCUGGUUUUUAGCUGACAUUCUUUUGGCAUGCUUUACUAGUUGAAUAGUUCCUCAAUAAAUACUUGCUGCUGUACAACAUGGAAAAAGAUAGGGGCAGUUCUAGAGAUAAAGGAUACAAGUAUUUGUGUUCCAAUCCAUGCAGGUAAAAAUGACUAAACCAGAAAUGUAAAUGAGGCAGGCCAAACCAAAGAUUACAAGAUUAAAGAACAAGGGCUGAAAUUCAGGCCCAGCGCGGCGGCUCACGCCUGUAAUUCCAGCACUCUGGGAGGCCGAGGCAGGCAGAUCACCUGAGGUCAGGAGUUUGAGAGCAGCCUGGCCAACAUGGCGCAACCCCAUCUCUACUAAAAAUACAAAAAAAUUAGCUGGGCGUGGUGGCACGCGCCUGUAGUCCCAGCUACUUGGGAGGCUGAGGCAGGAGAAUAGCUUGAACCCAGGAAGCGGAGGUUGCAGUGAGCCGAGGUCAUGCCACUGCACUCCAGCAUGGGCAAUAGAGCGAGACUCUGUCCCCCCGGAAAAAAAGAACAAGGGCUAAAUUCAAAUCAAAUUUUCCCUGUACCCUAAGAAAAAUAAUUAGGCCGGGAGAUGUUUGACUAAGUGAGUAGGCAUUGUUCUGUGACGGUCUGAGCCCCAGACCUUUCCUCUGGAUGAAUGCUGUCCCAGGUAAUGAAAUGACUUCACUUAUUAAUAUAUAGGUACACAGAGUUCAGGUAGAUGUGGAAUGAAUGGGGACUCGCCCCGUCUGCCCUUGAAUGUAUUUAGUGGUUUAUGUGAAAUGUACCUUUCAAAGUUGUCUGUAUGUUUCAUACUCUGGGGGUGGGAAUAUAAAUCAUUGCAGCCUUUUUGUAGGGCACUUUGGCAGUACUCAUCAAAAUAUGCGAUGUGCAGAUGCUUAGCCAGCAACUCCGCUUCUAUGAAUCUAGCCAACAGAAAUACUUGUAGAAGUGUGCAGCUAUAAAUGUCCACAGAGGCUCAGAGCCUCAUUGUUUUUAAUAGUGAACAGUUGGAAACCAAAUAGAUGUCUGUCAGUAGGGAUGUGGCAGAAUUGUGGCAUGUUUAUAUGGGUAUAGAAAGUAUGGAGGAACAUAGACCCAACUGUUGGUAAGAGUUAUCUCUGGAUGCAGGAAUAGGUAGGGGUUGAUGGGUACAGGGUCUCUACUUUGCAUAAUUUUGGGGCCACUGUUCACAUAGAACAUUUGCGAUGGAGUGGUGCUCCUCGAUUCGUUUAAUGGAGAGGGUUUGGAUGUGCUUUUGCUUUUUAUUUAACACAUGGGUAUAUUACUUUUCUUUUUCUGCAAAGAGCACUUAUUAAUUUUAUAGUUUUUUAAAUUGGCUUUGCCCGCUUCAGUAGUCACAGGUAGCUACCUGACCGAGAAGCCGACUUGGGAAUUACUGUUACUCGUGGGUGAUACUGUCAUAAAGGGGUUGAAAGUACUUGUUAGCUGUAUAUGUCAGAAUUGAUUAAAGAGAACCAACUAUUCUUGUGCAAGGGAUGGUAUUGUAGUUAAUUAUGACAUUUGGAGAAACUAAUUUCUGUCUGUCGACACUAUCUCUGUUCCAUUUAGACUUAGAGACUUACAUGGGCAAUGCUUGACUUUUUGCAUUCAGCACAGAAAGUUAAGUAAUCCACUGUGGUAAAAUAUUAACUAAAUUUAUAUGACUUCUUGACUGCUGUAAGUAGAGAAUAUUUAUCAUAUAAGCACCAUUUUCCUGAAUUUUUUGUUACUACAUAUUUUAUCUUACUGUCACUAUUGUGUAAAAUCUUUGAAAGGAAAAUGAAUACUGUGUAAUAGUUAAACCCAUUCAUAGGUUGCAAUAGAGUGUCAGCCAAAUGUGUCAUACAUCAAAUCUUCAGCAGCUUUUGCAUAAUCCAGGAGAAUUGAAUAAUAGUUGAAGUUAAUUUUGCCAGUGAAAUGUAGGGAAAGAAAAAUGUUUGAAAUUUAAAUUAUUCAGAUAGCUAAAUUCUUAAUCCUAAAAUUUAAACCCCUUAAUUCUGUCUGUAGUGUUAUAUCAAGACUUUUUGAUAGUCAUGAAACUGAGUAAAACUUUAUUCAGAUUACUUAAAAACAGCUUUUCCUGUGGUUAAUAACACCUUUAUUUUGAACAGAGUACUCUUAAGCAACUUAUAUUGUGCUGAUUAAAGAUUUAAUCUGUGCAUAUUUUUUAUCCUGUUGUUUAUUUAGUUUUGAUAACUGUGAAAUAAACCAUAAUUAAAUCAC